UACGGAGGAUCCAAGCGUUAUCCGGAAUCAUUGGGUUUAAAGGGUCCGUAGGCGGUUUAGUAAGUCAGUGGUGAAAGCCCAUCGCUCAACGGUGGAACGGCCAUUGAUACUGCUGAACUUGAAUUAUUAGGAAGUAACUAGAAUAUGUAGUGUAGCGGUGAAAUGCUUAGAGAUUACAUGGAAUACCAAUUGCGAAGGCAGGUUACUACUAAUGGAUUGACGCUGAUGGACGAAAGCGUGGGUAGCAAACAGG
rnacentral:rRNA from 1 species